UCUUAUGGAUUAGCAAAGAAGGUAGUUUCCUGAGAUGGAAUCUACUCCUGGUGAUCAUGCUGUGAA
rnacentral:pre_miRNA from 1 species